UACAGAGGUCUCAAGCGUUGUUCGGAUUCAUUGGGCGUAAAGGGUGUGUAGGUGGCGCUGUAAGUCGGGUGUGAAAUCUCGGGGCUUAACUCCGAAACUGCAUUCGAUACUGCGGUGCUUGAGGACUGGAGAGGAGACUGGAAUUCAUGGUGUAGCAGUGAAAUGCGUAGAGAUCAUGAGGAAGACCAGUGGCGAAGGCGGGUCUCUGGACAGUUCCUGACACUGAGACACGAAGGCCGGGGGAGCAAACGGGG
rnacentral:rRNA from 1 species